CUGCUGCGGCGGCGGCAGCGGUGCCCCCAGAACCCCCGUGCUUUCCGCCGCCUGCUUUCCCGGCCCCGAGUCCUCCUCCUCCUCCGGCUCCGGCUGAGGACGGGCGGCUCAUGACUUCCAGCUACGGUCCCGUUCCGUAACAUCCUUAGAAAUAUGUACACCGAAAUAUUUGACAACCGUCUUUAUAGGAAUGUUGUAUGCAGUUGUUAAUUCAGCUUCCUUCCCAAUUAUCCCGCUGGAGAAUCUAAAGACACACUGGAGACCAUGAGGCUGGAGAUGGUGGAGCAGUUCAAGAAGACAUCGCCAGAAAGAGACAUGAUUCUCAUCUAUCUCCAUAUGCAGCACACCUUUGCACUCAGACAGGAAGAAAUCGGCUCCUUCCAUUGCCAAAAUAAAAGACAGAUGGUCCGCACUCUUCUGUGAAUCCCAAGUCUACAGUGAAUUCAACAGAAUUGCCAAUCACAAUCUACCAUAUUCCUUUUUUGCUGCAUUUGAUAAAUGUACACCUCAGCUGUUGAAGCUUUACAAAAAGAGGAAGACUGGAAAAUUUGGUGAGAAGAUGGAACAGCUCCUGAUGGCGUAUGAAGAACAGCUAAAAGACAAGAGCAACAUCACUGCAGCUAGAAUAGCAGCCCUGGUUGGUCUUCCACUGUACUUAAAGGAGGACUCUUCAGAGAUCUUCAAGACUUGCAAGGUAUUUUGUUUUCUCCAGUUCUCCCAUCCAUUGAUCAAUAUCCUCAUCUAAGUUUAUUUUGUAAGUAGAAAAGUUCAGUCACUGUAUGUCCACUUGUUGCUGCAUCAAGCAGCAUCUGGACAAUUGUUAUUGGAUGGUAAGCAAUGUAUUGCUGUGGACACGUUCAGCUGCAAACUUAAACACCGACAACAAAAUCACUAUCAUUCAAAGAGUAUAUUUAAUUUAAUUCAUUUUAUAUCAGACCAAAAACCAUCAUUGUAUAAAGAAACAAUUACUUUCCACAUCAACUCUAGUUUUACCAUACAGAGCAUGGGACUUACUGGUCUACUGCCAUGUCGAUUGGUUUGUUGGUUUGUGUUAUUAGCUUUGGUGUUGUGAUGGUUAUUGUGGAUUUACCGCAGUACCUCAGUUAAACAAAUUAACUGGGAGACAACAGUAGACCAGCAUCUCCUGUUUUCUGUGAGAUUAAAUUAACGUUUUGAUUUCAUGUUGGAAGCGUCCCAAAUUAGCAGAGACAAUAUUAUAAACUGAGUUUUUCUUCUUUUGGAUGGUUCACCUACAUCUGUUGUUGGAUAUUGCUUUACUUCCCUGUAAAAGUCUCUGUACUAGCUUACUGAUUUGUACACUUGUACUCACACACUUCUUCUUUUCCCUUCAGGGGCCACCACAGCGAAUCAAUUGCCUCCAUCUAACCCUGUCUGCUGCAUCCUCUUCUCUCACACCAACUACCUUCAUGUCCUCUUUAACCACAUCCAUAAACCUCCUCUUUGGUCUUCCUCUAGGCCUCCUGCCUGGCAGUGGGAAACUCAGCAUCCUUCUACCAAUAUAUUCACUCUCUCUCCUCUGGACAUGUCUGAACCAUCUCAGUCUGGCCUCUCUGAUUUUAUCUCCAAAGCCUCUAACAUGUGCUGUCCCUCUGAUGUACUCAUUCCUGAUCCUAUCCAUCCUGGUCACUCCCAAAGAGAACCUCAGCAUCUUCAGUUCUGCUACCUCCAGCUCUGCCUCCUGUCUUUUCCUCAGGGACACUGUCUCCAGACCAAACAACAUGGCUGGUCUCACCACAGUUUUGUAAACCUUUCCUUUCAUUUUAGCUGAAACUCUUCUAUCACACAUCACACCUGACACUUUUCUCCAGCCGUUCCAGCCUGCCUGUACACGCUUCUUCACCUCUUUUCCACACUCUCCAUUGCUCUGGACUGUUGACCCUAAGUACUUAAAAUCCUCCACCUUCUUGAUCUCUUCUCCCUGUAACCUCACUCUUCCACUUGGGUCCCUCUCAUUCACACACAGAUACUCCGUCUUGCUGCGGCUAACCUUCAUUCCUCUCCUUUCCAGGGCAAACCUCCACGCCUCUAGCUUCUCCUCCACCUGUUCCCUGCUCUCACUACAGAUCACAAUGUCAUCUGCAAACAUCAUAGUCCAUGGAGACUCCUGUCUGACCUCGUCUGUCAUCCUGUCCAUCACCAUAGCAAACAAGAAGGGGCUCAGAGCUGAUCCCUGAUGUACUCCCACCUCCACCUUGAACUCCUCUGUCACACCUACAGCACACCUCACCACUGUCUUACAGUCCUCAUACAUGUCCUGCACCACUCUAACAUACUUCUCUGCCACUCCAGACUUCCUCAUACAAAACCACAGUUCCUCUCUGGGCACCCUGUCAUAAGCUUUCUCCAGAUCUACAAAGACACAAUGAUCCCGUCUCCUUUUUCAUUCAGACCACCACAGUUGUACUAACCUGCUGUGUCUCCAUCGCUGUAGGGUCGGGUUAUUGCUUAUGUGAGCCGUGGGGUGCGUGAUUGAAUGAUGAAGGUAAAUGGUAUUGUAAAUUUGUGCAGAUUCUUCAUUUAUGGGGUGGAGCACGCUGACAGUAAAACAGAGGGCAGAAACACCAUGCCGGUGCAUACAACUAUUUAUUUUUGUUCAAACCUAUUAAAACGGUGUAGGGUUGAUUUGUCAUGCUAACAUAUUUGUCUAAUAGAAUGUACCAGUUAUGUUUGAAAAGAAAUUUGGAUGGAUAUUCCAAAAGGGCACCUGAGCUGCCACAAAAAAGCAGAUAAAGGUUUGGAUUUUAAUUAAAACAAAAAACUGCUUAAUUACAGUCAUUUAAGUAUUGUAAUUGAUUACUUCCCCCUCUGCAAAUGGAAAGCAUCCCAAGGAACUAUAUUCUUCAAGCACAGCAUCCCUAAGUGAUACAAGUCAAGAAAUGUAUGUGUGGCCUUUUCCAUAGUCUAAGGAGAUUUUCCAGGGAGGACUGCAGUCAAGAAGUCCAGCAAUGUGGAAUCACAACCUGAUGAGCGUGCAUGCUGAAAUAAUUUUAUGGUUCGUGGGUACAUGUAUGAAGUGUUCUGCUGGUACCUGCUCACUCUUAUAUUCAUAGGUUCCUUCAGAUUCAGAGUGUUCACAUCAUUGCAUUUGUAAGGAAAUAAGUGAAGCCCAGCUUACAGUAAGUACACUGAUGACACACACACACACACACAGCAUUAUAACUAAACUUUAACUUUAUCUAACUUUAUCAAAACAUCAUUUCUCAAUUACCUCCAACAGUUCUGAAUAAAUCAGAUCACUUAAUCUGUAUUCUGGUGAAAGCAAGAUUCAACAAUGUCCAACGUAUUAAACAGCCAGACAACAUGCUUCAUACGCUGCAGAAGGUAAACAAAGUAGGUUCAGUGGAUUGCAUUUCCAUUUGAUUAGAGGUCACAAUCACUGCUUCUGUGCUUGUUCCUAAGAUGGGUGCAGUGGCAUUGUUUGUCCACUAGAUGGAGGCAGACCCCCUCUACACUGCAUCCAUGUUCAUCCUCCAUUCAUGGUGAGCUGCUGCUGCUGCUGCUGCUGCUAAUGAUGCUAAUGCUAAUGCUGCUGCUGAUGGUCUGGACUGUGGAAAUCCGCUAGCGAGGCUGUGCAUAUGCUACGGGCCUUGACUCUUAUCUCCACCUGAUAGUAACACCUUUGCAAUAACACACGUGAGAUCAGCUGUUGGCAGGUAAUUGUGUAGAAUAACAAUAUAAUAUAUACAGUAUAUCAGUAAUAAAAAUGAAGUUAACAGAACAGUUAAUUAGUUAAAAAGUUCACUGAACAUCGUAACGUGCCCAUAUGAUGGACAUCCACAUGCUUCAUUCUGUCUCAUCAUUUGUUGGAGCAACUUUGAGGUGUGAGCCAUUUGUUACACAUAUUUCAUGAUAAAUUUACACUUUUUUCCCAGUUGGGAAUUGAUACAAAUAGUCCAAAAACCUUCCUAAAAACCAUCACAAUGCAAACAAAGAAAGCGCUGUUUGGACUGAGGUCUUCUUCAGGUACCGGCUGAUUGUCUGCAUUGUCAAACGUACACUCAUAUUUACGGAACACUAAAACACAAAUGCAUCAUCUGCCUGACCUAGUUUUCUGAAUACAUAACAGGUGAGAUGUAAGGCAGGAAAAAGCACAGCUAUUCUGCAAAACACCGAACUUUGUAUAAUUCUAACAAACAAAAACAAUAAGAUAAAAAUAGAACUGAUAUUCAGAUAUGUGGUCCAUUUAACUGUUGUUUCAUUCAUUUACUGACAGAUCACAUCUUCUGCUGCCAUAUUUCCCUCAUCACAGCUGGAAUGAUUUACAAAAACAGCUCACUCCAUUUUCAAAAAAGUCUUUUUAUUGUUUACAUGAGAUAACAGUAAUAAUUUAUUCUGUAUUUUUCUUCUGAGUCAAAUCAACUUCACUUUGACUGAUUUUAUCUCAAGUAAACAAAAAGUUUUCUGAAAAUGUAUCCAAACAGACUUCUCUGUUUUUGCAGACAAACUCUUCAUGUCUACAUUACAGCUGGACGUGUUUGUCUCUGAUGUGUGUAUGAAAUAUAUUUCUAUUUGUCUGAGUAUGGCAGAUAUUGAUAAAUACAUGCUAUCAAACUAAACACCAAUGUUGGAACACAGCUACACAACUAAACCAAGACAACAUUUUACACUUUUUAUAGAAAUAUUUCACAUGAUCCAAACUUGUAACAUCACCUGCACUCGUCCUCACAAACACUUUGACUAAGUUACACUAACAACACAAAACUAAAACCUUUUCUAUGGUCACACAGUGAUGAGCAGCAGACAGCAGCCCACCACUGGAGUCACUGCAAAGAUGGACCUAAAAAUACAUAGAUCUAUAUUAGAGAUAGACCGAUUAUCAGCCGGGCCGAUUAUCGCGACGAUAUCUGGGUUUGGUCGAUUAUCGGCAAAACGCCGAUAAUCGGCAGAUAUGACUUAAAACUGGGUUAUUUUGGCGUUUUUGCCGCAGUGUCUCCUUUUUUCUUCUCCCGGUGCGCUCCUUCGUGCUCCCCGCCCCGCUCUGCUAUCUCUCUCCCUUCUUCACUCUCCGGCUCUUCCCAAGAGCAAAGCUUCAUCUGAUUGGUCACACACAGAGGGCUGACAGCCAAUCAGAGCUACCGCUGAGGGCACAGCAUUCGUGGGCGGUCCUGCCGAGUGCUGCUCGGUCUGAGAGUCGCAGACAGCGGGAAAGGAGAGAGGCUGGUUUCACAGAUCGAGGAAACUUUGUUUGCUAACGAUGGACAAAGCAAAAAGUGCAGUAUGGAAGCAUUACAGUCAACCAUCAUCAGGAAAGGCAGUCUGCAAAGAAUGCAACGAAAAUGUAAGCAUGGGAUCAACAACAGGGAGAACCAAAAAUACUUCAAACCUGUGGUCCCAUCUUAGGACUCAUCAUCCCGAGUUGUAUCAAGAAUUACAGAAGAAACAGGAACCUGAAACUCAUCAGGAUGCGGCAACUUCAGCUCAGCCUACAAUUGAAGAAAUGUUUAACAAACAAAGAAAGUGGUCCAAGUCAGAUGACAGGUCGAAACUAAUGGACAAACUUAUCCUAGAGAUGAUAGUCACUGAUAACCAACCAUUCACAGUGGUAUCUGAUGUUGGCUUUAAACGCCUCAUGGCUGCAGCUGAGCCAAGAUACGCACUCAAAAGUGACAAGUACACACGUGGACAAAAUUGUUGGUACCCCUCAGUUAAAGAAGGAAAAACCCACAAUUCUCACUGAAAUCACUUGAAACUCACAAAAGUAACAAUAAAUAAAAAUUUAUUGAAAAUUAAAUAAUCAAAAACAGCCAUCACUUUUGAAUUGUUGAUUAACAUAAUUAUUUAAAAAAACAAACUAAUGAAAUAGGGCUGGACAAAAAUGAUGGUACCUCUAUAAAAGAUUGAAAACUAUUUGACCAGAGUGACAUGAUUAACUCAGGUGUGUCAUUUAAUUGACAUCACAGGUGUUUCCAAACUCAUAAUCAGUCAGUCUGCCUAUUUAAAGGGAGACAA